UUUGACAUAUCGAUUUCUCUCUCUUCAGACUUCUCUCUCCUCGUUCUCUGCCUCUCUCUUUUCCCACUUUUUUUUCUAAUUGAUUCUCCCUCCUCGCCGAUUCACUUAACCCCAUCGGACUAGUCUCAUAUUGGCAAAUCGCCGGCCACUGCCAAACCCUUGCAGUGGUCUUCACCUCCUCCCUAUCUCGAUCGGAGCAGCAGUGAGGCCGGAUGACAUUUGGCCUCCCUCCAAUCCGCCUUCCUUAGCCACAAAGAACAAGACCGGCGUUAGAAUUGGUUUUUGGUUCCGACCGGUUCAUUUUUUGUGAUCGGCUUCUAGCGGCUAUCUCCGAGAUCCCAGACCUAUUCCGACUGUUCUUAGGUUCGUUUUCAACAUCCAGGUGGUCAGACAUCCAUCGAUCAGUAGCUGGAGGACUUCCAACGUCCAUAUCUCUCCUAGCGUCCUCAAAUCGGUCCAGCUUGGACCGAUCGCUUAGCCAAUCGGUCCAGCGGAUAGCAGCGGUUCCGCGGCUGCUAGAUCUAAUCCGAUCAAUCCUUUGCAUCAUCUUUGAGCAAGCUGUGGUCAGAGUCCAGUCUACUGGUCAUCGAAACAACUUCGGUGAUUGUUCCUUCUCUUGGCGGUCUCAAAUCGAUCCAAGCUUGGACUGGUCCCUGCUAUUGUUUCAAACCGAUGUCCAGCCAGUCCCUGAGUUGGUUUGAGGCGUCCGGCUCAUUCAUUGGAGGUUAAUUCAAAUUCCGAUUACGCUCCGGUGGUGAGGUUUUCGUCUGAUCGUACCUAAAUCUGACAAAAAUCGCAUAAAAGGCAACUUCCAAAACUUGAAUCUUGUAAAACGAGACCGGGUUAGCUGGUCGAGGCUAGGAUUCCACCCUAGGGCUAUAUAUUAUGUUUAGAUAUGAUAUCUAGAAUGUUAUAAGGUGACGUGCUGUGAUUGGAUGAUCAUCAAAGAUGAACAUGAGUUUAAACUUGUUUGAUUUGCCUCAAAUCUGCAUUUUCGCGUUUCUGCAAUAGGCUCAUUAUUUUGGCUAAAAUAAGGUCUUAAAUGGCCUCCUUUUAGCUUGAGUCAUUUUAGACUUUGGAAAUAUACAUCACAGGCUUUGAAUCAAUAGGUCGCAUGGCCCGAUCGGACGACAUUUGACCCCUAAAAAAACACGUUACAAUCUGUUUGAUCCGUGUAGGUUCUUGGUGCUUUUAGGGUUUUAACCUUAGUCUGCCUCUAAAUUUUGUCAUUUUUGCUCUGAUUUCUAUGAUAAUUUGUGGACAAACUUAUCUCCAUUGAUGCAAGAUUUGUAAAAUUUUGAAGUCAUUUAAUGCAUCGAUUGCAUGCAUAAAGGUGCAGGGGUGUUGCUGCAAUAAGAAAGUUCACACUACGUAUUGGUUUUGCUAUUUUUCUCAUAACUCAUAUGAUCACAAUUUGGUAGAAUUUAUGCACAUUCUUAAGUGAUCAAAACUUGGCAUGUUCUCAGCCCUUAUUACAGGAUCAAUGCCUUAUCAUAUGCAUACAUUCGUGUGCAUGUUUGGGUCUUUUAAAAACCAAAUUUCGCGUUAGCGCCUUUUAGACAUUUGAAUUACAUAUUACAAGAGUUGUGUAAGUAUAUGUUCAUCCUAUUUGAACGUCAUUUCACAAAUGGAG
rnacentral:lncRNA from 1 species